GACGAACCGUGCGAACGUUGUUCGGAAUCACUGGGCUUAAAGGGCGCGUAGGCGGCUUGGCAAGUCCGGGGUGAAAGCCCCCAGCUCAACUGGGGAAGUGCCUUGGAUACUGCCAAGCUCGAGCGAGAUAGGGGUCGUGGGAACUUCCGGUGGAGCGGUGAAAUGCGUUGAAUAUCGGAAGGAACGCCGGUGGCGAAAGCGCACGACUGGAUCUCUUCUGACGCUGAGGCGCGAAAGCCAGGGGAGCAAACGGGG
rnacentral:rRNA from 1 species